rnacentral:rRNA from 1 species
UACGGAGGAUCCAAGCGUUAUCCGGAUUUAUUGGGUUUAAAGGGUGCGUAGGUGGCUUUUUAAGUCAGGGGUGAAAGACGGUAGCUUAACUAUCGCAGUGCCCUUGAUACCGAAGAGCUUGAAUGAACUAGAGGUAGGCGGAAUGUGACAAGUAGCGGUGAAAUGCAUAGAUAUGUCACAGAACACCAAUUGCGAAGGCAGCUUACUAUGGUUUUAUUGACACUGAGGCACGAAAGCGUGGGGAUCAAACAGG